rnacentral:rRNA from 1 species
UACGCAGGGUGCAAGCGUUGUCCGGAAUCACUGGGCGUAAAGGGCGCGUAGGCGGCCCUUGAAGGCUGCGGUGAAAGUCCGGGGCUCAACCUCGGAUCGGCCGUGGCGACUCGUGGGCUGGAGCACUGUAGAGGCGGGUGGAAUUCCGGGUGUAGCGGUGGAAUGCGUAGAGAUCCGGAAGAACACCAGUGGCGAAGGCGGCCCGCUGGGCAGUGGCUGACGCUGAGGCGCGACAGCGUGGGGAGCAAACAGG